rnacentral:rRNA from 1 species
GACGGAGGGAGCUAGCGUUGUUCGGAAUUACUGGGCGUAAAGCGCACGUAGGCGGCUUUGUAAGUUAGAGGUGAAAGCCCGGGGCUCAACCCCGGAAUUGCCUUUAAGACUGCAUCGCUUGAAUCCGGGAGAGGUGAGUGGAAUUCCGAGUGUAGAGGUGAAAUUCGUAGAUAUUCGGAAGAACACCAGUGGCGAAGGCGGCUCACUGGACCGGUAUUGACGCUGAGGUGCGAAAGCGUGGGGAGCAAACAGG